rnacentral:lncRNA from 1 species
CCGCCCGGCUUCGCUCCGCCUGCAGCUCCUGCCAGCACCGAACCGAAUUCAUCCUCUGGCAGUGCUUUACCUGAGGGUAAACGGAGACAAAUUCCUCUGUGGAUGCCUGCAGCUCCCCAGGAUCUGUACCCGACACAGAAGCAAUCUGCUCUGCAGCCAGGCUGACAGCACAUUCUGGUUCCCAGUUCAGAGACAUCCAACACAGCAGCACCAUUACCAUUCUUGGACCUACUCACCUCUCCAGCACAGAAGGCAUC